rnacentral:lncRNA from 10 species
AUGGCAUACCCUAGUGCGGGUCUGUUUUUAUAUAUUGUGCUGGGCAUUGGAAAGCCAUGGCUUUCAGUUUCACUAAUGAUUUCCUCUGCUGUUUCUUCUGUUCUCUUUAUGGCAUGCUUAUUAUUCAGAUCUGAGGCCUUUUGUUCUGGUCUUUUCUUUCCUACUUUCCAGCUGUUCUUUUUGUACUACUUUGUGGGAGAUUUCCUCAACUUCAUCUUCUCACCCUUCUAUUGAGUUUUUAAUUUCUAUUUUCAGGACUUAUUUUCUGAAUAUUCUUUUUUUCUUAGAUGGAGAAAAACCUUACAAUUUCAAAACCUGAGGAUAUUAGUGGCAGUUCCUUAAAAAUGUUUUCUUCUCCCUUCACAGUCCCACUUUGCUCCAUUUUGGGUUGUGGGUUUUGAUUCUACCUUUCACCCUAGAGGCAUUCCUCAAAUGGCUGGUGAUCCUUGCCUGUCUGCACAUAUUGAAGAGGGGGACAAUAAGCUGACUGGAAGCAACCGGCUCAUAGGAGUAGGAUUUGUUGACUCUGGCAUUCCUGAAACUGCUGCUUCCCUGGAGACCCCCAAUAUCAGCUGCCAAAUUUUGCACAGAAUCUUCUCAUCUCCUGGCUGGAAGCAUAAGCCUGGCUACCAGCAUUCAGACAGCCAAGUAGGGGAAAGUGCUAAGCAUUAAAUAUUCUGAAUACAGGCUGGGCACAGUGGCUCACACCUGGAAUCCCAGCACUUUAGGAGGCCGAGGCGGGUGGAUCACCUGUGGCCAGGAGUUCGAGACUAGCCUGGCCAACAUGGCGAAACCCCGUCGCUACUAAAAAUAUGAAAAAAUUAGCCGGGCGUGGAGGCACGCGCCUGUAGUCCCAGCUACUCAGGAGGUUGAGGCAGGAGAAUUGCUUGAAUCCAGGAGGUGGUGCAUGCCUGUAGUCCUAGCUACUUGGGAGGCUGAGGCAUGAGAAUCAAGUGAUUCUUGCACCUGGGAGGCAGAAGUUGCAGUGAGCUGAGAUCACACCACUGAACCACCGCAGCCUGUCUUAAAAAAUAAAAAUAAAGAAGUAACAUUUUUGGGAACUGGUGUGCCUGGA